AGCCUCGUGAACUUGUGUUGUUAUGUCACCAAGCCAUACUUUUGCUAGUAUGUUUCAAUAUGCUCGGACGCAACGUCCAUUUUCUCUUUCUUCUAUCGUUAUCCUCAUAGGAAAAUCGCAUCUCCUGUUCGUGCGAAAGCGCUUGUUCCACGAAACAGGAAACAAAUGCAAAUCGUGGCUGCCCUUGCAAGAUGUGGAAGUGAGUGCACGUGUGGUUCGACAGCAAAUCCGUGUCGAAAACACGGCUGGUGCAAGUACAGCUUCAUUUGUGGCUGAAGAACACAGCCAUAUCAGACUGACAACGGGCCAAGUGAAGAGCAGGAGAGGAUAAAAUAAAAUAGAGAUGCAAGGGUCUGCUUGUAUAGAAAUAUAUUUUUAUUUCUUAUUAUUCCAAGAACAAAAAUAUGCGUAAAUAUGGAAAAGACCACAAAAAUCAAAGCUUGAACACCAAUUCAAAUGCAUAAAGUUUAGCAAGGCAAGAUUUGUUUUGUUCCUACACUUGAUUUUUUUUAUUUCUAGGCCCACUUGAAUUGGCAAAAACUCUGUGCUUGCUAGCAAGCUGUCAAACUUGAAUCUUUGACACAGUUGUUGGCUCUACCUAAAGUAGAUCAAUUACAACACUUAAUUUUGUCAGGCAAGC